UACGUAGGGGGCGAGCGUUGUCCGGAUUUAUUGGGCGUAAAGAGCGUGUAGGCGGCCAGGUAGGUCUGCUGUGAAAACUCGAGGCUCAACCUCGAGACGUCGGCGGAAACCAUCUGGCUAGAGUCCGGAAGAGGAGAGUGGAAUUCCUGGUGUAGCGGUGAAAUGCGCAGAUAUCUGGAGGAACACCGGUGGCGAAGGCGGCAUCCUGGACCGGCAUUGACGCUGAGGCGCGAAAGCCAGGGGAGCAAAGCGGG
rnacentral:rRNA from 1 species